rnacentral:rRNA from 1 species
UACGUAGGGUGCAAGCGUUAAUCGGAAUUACUGGGCGUAAAGCGUGCGCAGGCGGUGAUGUAAGACAGAUGUGAAAUCCCCGGGCUCAACCUGGGAACUGCAUUUGUGACUACAUCGCUGGAGUACGGCAGAGGGGGAUGGAAUUCCGCGUGUAGCAGUGAAAUGCGUAGAUAUGCGGAGGAACACCGAUGGCGAAGGCAAUCCCCUGGGCCUGUACUGAUGCUCAUGCACGAAAGCGUGGGGAGCAAACAGG